rnacentral:antisense_RNA from 1 species
CUCUAUGGUGAACUGGAUAGGGCAGCCGCAAGGCUGGCCGGGCGGUUACUCCGGUAGUCUCAACCCUGUUCAGUUCACCACCAAU